rnacentral:lncRNA from 1 species
AAUCACUAACCCAGGCUUGAUGUUAUUUUAAUCAAGCAUGAUAAGAAUAAUGAAAUGAUGCACCUCUUAGGAUUUAUUUGUAUGGCAGGGGAGGACUUCAGGAACAUAUCAUAUAAAUGAUGGAAGCCCAAGGACUUUUCCUAUCUUGCUGGUUUGUCCUUCUACCACCCCACGGGGUGGGGGCGCUGUGAUGAGGCAGAAGCAACAGAACAGGGUAGGGGUGGGGGUAGUCAGGAGACAUGGGUGAGUUACCUGGAGCAGAUGCCCUGCUCCCAGGACCCCAGUCUCUUCACAUGGGGAGGACUUGAUGCAGCAGCAUGUUGGUGAAUGUUUAAUGCCUAAUAAAUGCUUCUCCCCAAAAACAUGUAUUUUCAUAUGCGGCAUAUGCUUAUUAUACAAUUUACUAAUAUUAGCGAUGUGUAGUAUACAAUUUAAAAUAAUAAAACAUAGACUACUCUAUUGUACAUUCUGCAUAGCCAGUUGGUUUUUGUCAAUUUUUGCUGAACUCUCCCAUCAGUAUCCAACCAACAGUUGCAUCUGACAAAUGAAUGUGGUUCUGACAUGAACAUUGGUUGAUAUUUUUGUUUAUGUUAAAGAGGAAGGUGAAAGUGAAACCACAAAGACACAUGUUGGGACAAUAUGCGUUCGUCAGUGGCAUGAGUGGCUUCUCUGCUGAGUUGGAGAAUGGUAUUGGAAUACUGAUAGCCUAUAUCCUUGAGUUUUGCACUGUUCACAAUGUAACAACUAUCUAUAUGAUACACUGAAUUCCUGACAUUUUUGCCACUAUUCUUUUAAGUAUUGGCAAUCAAUAAAACAGUAGAUCAAGCUCUGGUGUGUAGUGUUGGCCAGUGUCUAUGGUAUAAAGACUCCUACCUUGACCUCUGUUAAGCCACCCAUGUGAUGUCACUGAAAUUGGAUUUGGGAAGGGAUGUGGGGUUAUAUACCAUUAUAUAGUGUAUCCGCUAUACCGAUACAGGAGAUAUAAAGAACCUCAGAAGUACACAUAAUAGUAAAACAUAGUAAAAUACUUAGUAAGAGGUAGCUGUAUUUAUGACCUUUUUUAAAAAUAUAAUUUAUUUAAUAGAAGUUUACAUAAUUUAACUUUUAAUUAUGGCUGUGCUUAAUAAAACAGCUUGGAAAAUUCCUUAAAAUUUCACCAUCUGCUCUCAGGAAGGUAUGAGCUGGUUGCAGCAGAGCAGAGGUUUGAUGAGAUUCAUCCCAGUGUCCACCGCCAGAUGAGAUUUCCAAGAAGGGCUAGCAUUUCAGACCCUUCCUCUCCCAAGUCACUGUCCCUCCCAUCCAGGGCCCAUCCUGCUUCCUCUCUGAAAGGAGCAGAUGUAAAGCAGUUGAAUCUGAUGGCAGAACAUAGGUUGCCUUUGGAGCUGACCUCCUUCUGGAGCCCACUGACAUCAUGAUCUGGGGCCUGGAAAGUGAAUGUCUGGAUGCGUGUUUUAAAGAGUGAUUUUUAUCAGGGAAAAAGCACCUGCUUUCAACCCUCAGCCCCGUGGAUUCUGUAAGGCUAAUGCAACAUCAGUUCAUGCCAGUGUGCAGACAGUGAAAAGAAGUGUGUCUCAAGGUCAAGCCAUCCCCAGGAGAGAAUAGCAGCCUGACAAGAGCAUGACCAGGGGAUAGAUAUUUACCUUGUGAUUCAUUAGCACAAGCCCUGCACAGGCUCAGACAACUGCCUGCUGCAAUGUUCCUGAGAGGCCAACACCAGUCAGUUAAGCAAAAGGUUGAGGGUGGGGUAAAGUGCUAUCAUUUCCUGGAUGCCUGCUGCAACCUUGACCCUUUGAGGCCAUACCUCUGACCUUCACAGCUCAUCAGGCCUCCUGAUGCCUGCUUUCUCGAUGAGGAAACUGAUGCACAAGAGGUGAAGUGAGCUGCACAAGCUCCUGCAGAAGUAAGCCAUGGAGCUGGGAUUUUUAACCCAGGAUGAUCUGGCUCCCAAAUCAACUCCAAGUGAUUCACUGACAAUAAGAAACAGAAAUGUCCGGGGAGUUCCCUGGUGGCUCACAGGUUAAGGACCUGGGAUUCACUGCUGUGGCUCAGGUGACAGCUGUGGCAUGGGUUCAGUCUGUGGCCUGGGAACUUCUGUUUGCCACAGGUGCAACCAGAAAAGAAAGAGAGAGAAAGAGAGAGAGUGGGAGAGAAAGAAAGAGAAAGGAGGGAGGGAAGAAAAGAAGGAAAAAAGAAAGAAAGCGGAAGAACGAAGGAAGAAAGGAAAGAAAGGAAGGACGAUUAUGUCCAGCGGAUGGGAACCUUGUAGCUCUCUGUAAGGAAGACAUACAGCUGGAGGUUGUAAACUGUAAACUCAAGUCUAAUCCUGAUUGCAGUGUUGUUUUGUUUGGCCUGAAUAGUGUUUUCUAAAAAAUGUUUGAAUUCAUUACCAACCCUUAAAAAUAGGGAGUUUUCAUAUAGUUUCAUGCAGAAUGCAGAAUUCUGGUUCCUCUUGGGAAACCAGAAGAUCUGGGAACAGUCAGUUGGAGCUGAGGAUGACUGCCAUUUUCAGAAGGAACAGGAACACUCUUGAGUGCCAUCGUCCCCACCCACCCUGGGGCUGCUCUGUGGGAAAUUAGAUGACCCCACAGCUGCAGAGGGAGGCUAGACCCAGCCCAGGAAGUUCUUGGACACCAACAUGUAAGGGUACCAGCCUGUCAGAACUUCCUUGUUGUACCGGUUUGCUAGGCUGCCUUAACAAAGUACCACACACUGGGUGGCCUAAACAACAGAAAUCUGUUUCCAUUCUGGAGGCUAAAAUCCAAGGUCAAGGCAGGAUUGGUUUCUUCUGAGGCCUCUUCUUGGUUUGUAGAUGGCUGCGUUGUCUCUGUGUCUUCCCUCUGAGUCCUAAUCUCCUCUUCUUAUAAGGACACCAGCCAUGUUGGAUUAGGGCCAACUCUAAUGACCUUGUUUUAACUUGAUUACCUCUUCAAAGACCCUCUCUCCAAAUACAGGCACAUUCUGAGGUACUAGAGGUUAUGACUUGAAUAUACACAUUUGGGAGGGGCUGCAACUCAGCCCCUAAUGAUCAGAUAUUGAUNNNNNNNNNNUUUCCCUAGGGACAGACCUAAUUUUGUACAGUCUGAAACUUAUACAGUGUUGGGAGCCUUCUUCUUCUUUUUUUAAUGGCCACACUGGCUGAAUAUGAAAAUUCCCAGUCCAGAAAUUGAAUCUAAGCUGCAGCCAUGACCUACACCACAGCUGUGUAGGUCAACUCUGGAUCCUUUAACCCACCGUGCCCGGCCAGGGAUUAAACCCGCAUCUCUGCAGCAACCUGAGCUGCUGCAUUUGGAUUCUUAAUGUCUGUGCCAUAGAGAAAACUCCUGGAAACCUUCUUGGUAAAGAAGAAUAUAUAACUGUGAAUGUAGAACUCGGUGCAGGGAGCAGAGCUGCCGGUGCCCUACCCAUGUCCCCCAGGCUGUGCUGGAACUCAGGGUCAGGACCUCCAGCUUUCGCCAAGGCCCUUGCCCACCAAGAGUGCUGGGGAAAUAACUCCUGCUGCCACACUCCCAAGCCCUUGGCCAGUGACUCCUCACCCCUGAAGUGGGACAGCUCUGAGGUGUGUCUUCUACCCGGGGCAUUAAUUGUGUCUUUAUUUCCGAUAUUGCUGUUGUUUUGACAUCUAGGGCCUUGCUGACCCUGGGAGGUUGCCCCCUCCCAGAGUUAGCCAAUUGUUAGAGAUAGUAAAAAAUGCAACUUUCAAGUGCAAGUCAGCCACUCAAGGGCUCACACCCCAAGCACCUUCUUUAUCAGGCUCUCUCUCCUUUUGUAAUCACCCUCAAGCCAGGUACCAGCCAACUAGGACCACCUGGUGCCCAUAGUCCACAUAAAUUAGUCAAGCUAGCCCAUUGUAAUCAUACCCUGCCUCAUGUGUUCCUUCCUGCAGAAACUGCAAUAAAGAUUCUUCAUAGGCCCUCCUCCCUCUGCCUUCUGCCCAACCCUGGUGUUUCUCCGUGUGGCUCCUCAUGGGCUAUGCCCCCCUCCUCUUGGGAACUACGAGUAACAAGCUAUCUUUUCAAUGGCAGUCGCCUCCUGAUCUGUUGGCCUUGCCUUAACUAAAUAAUAAUAAAAGCUGUAUUUUAAAACAUUCUGUUCCCCAAGGGCCCCUAUGGGAUUCAGCUCCAGACACCCACAAUGGGAGCUGGCUUGAUCAUGCAGCCUUUGCUGGCUGACUGCCCUUCCCGGUCUCAUUUCCCCACAUGCCUGCCAAUAUGCCUCCCAGAUAAACCAACCAUAUUCUCAGCCUUGUCCCACGGGCUGCUUCCAGGGGAACCAAAUUAAGUCAGCACAGAAGUGAAUGUUUAUUUUAAAUACAGAGAGGAAAUAAAAGUGGAGACAGCGGCCUUAACUGAUGGCUGUUGUAGGAUCUUACAUUGGCAAAUUUAAAAAAAACGCGGGACCACAUGAACACGUUAGGGCUCUUGGAAGGGGCUCAGAUGAGGGCCACAAUGCUUACAGUUCAUUAGUUUAUGAUAAGUCACCCUCUGACUAGGACAGAGGCUCCAUGAGGGCCAGUACAGUGCCCGGCACAGUGGCUGGCAUGUAGCAGGUGCUUUAUGCAUAGUAGUUUAAUGAACGAACAUCCUAACAGAGCAGACUUGGUGUGCCCCUUUCUCUCCUGGGUGGGGCUUGGUUGGCAUCCUUUAGAUCCCUGUUUUGAGGGUGUCUCCUGGUAGUAGCAAGCCUCCUUCCAAGGGGCACAAUUGAUUUCUUUAGACAUGCUAAUUCCAGAGUUCCCAUGUGGCUUAUUGAUAAUGAACCCAACUGGUAUCCAUGAGAAUGUGGGUUCAAUCCCUGGCUUCA